GACGAACGCUGGCGGCGUGCUUAACACAUGCAAGUCGAACGGAAAGGCCCUGCUUUUGUGGGUUGCUCGAGUGGCGAACGGGUGAGUAACACGUGAGUAACCUGCCCUUGACUUUGGGAUAACUUCAGGAAACUGGGGCUAAUACCGGAUAGGAGCUCCUGCAGCAUGGUGGGGGUUGGAAAGUUUCGGCGGUUGGGGAUGGUCUCGAGGCUUAUCAGCUUGUUGGUGGGGUAGUGGCUUACCAAGGCUUUGACGGGUAGCCGGCCUGAGAGGGUGACCGGCCACAUUGGGACUGAGAUACGGCGCAGACUCCUACGGGAGGCAGCAGUGGGGAAUAUUGCACAAUGGGCGGAAGCCUGAUGCAGAAACGCCGCGUGCGGGAUGACGGCCUUCGGGUUGUAAACCGCUUUCGCCUGUGACGAAGCGUGAGUGACGGUAAUGGGUAAAGAAGCACCGGCUAACUACGUG
rnacentral:rRNA from 1 species